GUGAAUCCUUCGGCAGAGUUGUUUUCAGGUACGGUGGAGGAAACCAGCUCUGAUAUUAUGACGAACAGGGAGCUUUCCUCCAUUGAGCUGCGGGAGAGACGUCUCAUGGAGAAGUCCUCUUUGGAUAAAGUCUUUGAGGAGAUGUUGGCAGGGUUGGGGCUGAGGCUGACGGAGACAGAACCUUAACAUAAUUUUCCGUUGCAGGAGAAUAUUACCAUUUGUAGAAUCUCUAUCCCUUGCGAGGAAAUCACCAAUCGUUGUAUCGUCCGAGGAGGACAUUCCAGGCACCAGUGCAGGGAAUGCAGUUUCUUCAGAACAGUCUACUACAUCUGCAGUUGCAGCUCCAAACAAGAAAACAAAAGCAGUCACCAAGAGGAUGCGCACGGACAAGGUCUGUCAUCCUCCUGAAUUCAAAGAGACCUCACCAUCCACUUCUAGACGAGGGAAAGGAAGGACAACUCUUGCAAACCCCUACGCCAAAUCAG